GAUAGGAGUGUCGUGACAUACAAAAGUUACAGUGCUUUCACUUCUGUUACUGGGAUUCGAUUCCUAGGGCGCUUUCCAUUUAAUGGCCUGACCGGUCAGACCCGAAUUGUUUUUCUCUGUAUCAAUGGAAAGAUCUGGUCUAUGUUUCUCAAAUAUCUAGCGAAAAUGGACCUCUUUCUAAUGUUAUCUAAAUUUUCCGGUCAGAUAGGUCCGAAGUCCAAAUGUUUUGU